UCCUCAAUGGUCUAACGGCUAGGAUACAGCUCUUUCAUUAAGCGAGCAGCUGGGGCCAGGGUUCGACUCCCUGUUGGGGAA